UCCGGUUGAUCCUGCCGGAGGUUACUGCUAUCGGUGUUCGCCUAAGCCAUGCGAGUCAUAUGUAGCAAUACAUGGCGUACUGCUCAGUAACACGUGGAUAACCUGCCCUUGGGACCGGCAUAACCCCGGGAAACUGGGGAUAAUUCCGGAUAAAGCAUAUGUGCUGGAAUGCUUUAUGCGUAAAAUGGAUUCGUCUGCCCAAGGAUGGGUCUGCGGCCUAUCAGGUAGUAGUGGGUGUAAUGUACCUACUAGCCAGCGACGGGUACGGGUUGUGAGAGCAAGAGCCCGGAGAUGGAUUCUGAGACAUGAAUCCAGGCCCUACGGGGCGCAGCAGGCGCGAAAACUUUACAAUGCGGGAAACCGUGAUAAGGGGACACCGAGUGCCAGCAUCAUAUGCUGGCUGUCCAGGUGUGUAAAAUACACCUGUUAGCAAGGGCCGGGCAAGACCGGUGCCAGCCGCCGCGGUAACACCGGCGGCCCGAGUGGUGAUCGUGAUUAUUGGGUCUAAAGGGUCCGUAGCCGGUUUGGUCAGUCCUCCGGGAAAUCUGAUAGCUUAACUAUUAGGCUUUCGGGGGAUACUGCCAGACUUGGAACCGGGAGAGGUAAGAGGUAC
rnacentral:rRNA from 1 species